rnacentral:rRNA from 1 species
GUGGGGAAUAUUGGGCAAUGGGCGAAAGCCUGACCCAGCAACGCCGCGUGAAGGAAGAAGGUUUUCGGAUCGUAAACUUCUAUCCUUGGUGAAGAUAAUGACGGUAGCCAAGAAGGAAGCCCCGGCUAACUACGUGCCAGCAGCCGCGGUAAUACGUAGGGGGCAAGCGUUGUCCGGAAUGAUUGGGCGUAAAGGGCGCGUAGGCGGCCCGGUAAGUCUGAAGUGAAAGUCCUGCUUUUAAGGUGGGAAUUGCUUUGGAUACUGUCGGGCUUGAGUGCAGGAGAGGUAAGCGGAAUUCCCGGUGUAGCGGUGAAAUGCGUAGAGAUCGGGAGGAACACCAGUGGCGAAGGCGACUUACUGGACUGUAACUGACGCUGAGGCGCGAAAGUGUGGGGAGCAAACAGGAUUAGAUACCCGAGUAGUCC